ACACUUGGGUUCAUCUUCAUGAGGUGUAAUGGCGCCGGGAUGCGCUCUCCUCUUCUCAUUUGCCAAUUUAUUGCAGAUCCCUCCUCAAAAAAGUUUUGGGACUAACUCAGCCCCAUGGAGAUCAAGGUGAAUUAGAAAAACAACAAAACAAAACAAGAUUCAUUUUAACAUCUCAUUUUUCUAUCUCCAACUUUCCCUCCCCUCCUCCCACCCCAGGAAGAAAAGACUACGUUUGUUUCUGGUGAUACAUUCAUUGUAGGUGGGUGGGUGACUUCUAGAAGAGGAAAAUCAAGAAGAUUUGGAGAAGGAGUCUUGGAAGCUCUGGUGAAGUUUUCCAAAACUGGGAAGGACAGAGUCUGCUCAGCCUGUGUUAGUGGAGAAGAGGGAAGGAAACUGGCUGGAGGCCGCUGGACCCACAGAGGACAAUAGACAAUCUCCUGCUUGGAAGAAAAAGAAAAUGAGACCCAGAAGACCCAAAUCACAAAUCAAAAGGACCUCACAGAAGAUUCUACAAUUGAGAUUAUUUAUCCUGGGAUGCCCACUGGAUCCAAAGAGAGAAACUCUAUAGAAUUAUGAUCUAGGUUUGACUGACUCCUGGCAAGAAGCCCUACCCGCCAGCCAAUUUGGAUGAGAUGCCAUCAGCGACCUGCCCGUAUCGCCUUGCCCCACCGAGAAGUCAGGCCACAGACAGUUCCUGUAUAUAGCAGUGCUUCUUUUGGCUUCUGUCUGUAGGUGUUUUCUCACCACAGAAGAGUGCUCAGCCCUCUGGAAGUUCUCUAAAGAGUUAGAUCUCCCAGGGGUGAUCAUCUAUCAAUGAAGGAUGGGAAUUGGAUGCAGAAGAAGAUCAACCUAGGACUGGCAGGGUCACAGGAUGGAAAGGGCCUGGGUACCCAAAUCACCACCUGGAGGAAAGCCACUUACCAACCCAGAAUACUCACCUUCUACUGUUACAUAAAUAAGAAACAAAUAUUAUAU
ensembl:lncRNA LINC01980 long intergenic non-protein coding RNA 1980